rnacentral:lncRNA from 1 species
UCCGGUGCCUUACCCUAACUGGGCCAGGCACUGUCUGCACCGGACGCUCAGACGCAGCGUCCGGUGCUCCAGAAGCCAGCGUCCAGUGAGUGUUUUCUCAGCGAGAAACACUCCCGCGACUACUCCAAAUUUUCCACCGGCGCAAUAGAAAAUAUGCACUUCAUUUUCUCGAAAAGCGCCGAAUCCCGCCUCGCAAGCUCGGCGGGAGGGAGAGAGGAACCCAUCCUCUCUCUACCCUUGAAACUCCACCUCCUUCUCAAAGUGUGCCAACACCACAACGAGUGAACCAACAAGUGCACGUGUGUUAGCAUUUUCACAAACAUUUUCUUCGAAGGAGUUAAGUUAGCUCACUAGGUUCUAAAUGCA